ACAACUUUCAACAAUGGAUCUCUUGGCUCCGGCAUCGAUGAAGAACGCAGCGAAAUGCGAUAGCUAGUGUGAAUUGCAGAUUUCAGUGAAUCAUCGAGUCUUUGAACGCACAUUGCGCCUCUUGGUAUUCCUCGAGGCAUGCCUAUUCGAGCGUCGUU
rnacentral:rRNA from 1 species